GGAGGGAGAGCUAGAAGAAGGGACUGAGGGAAGGAGAAAGGGUGAAGAAGAAGCAUUAGUAAUAACUGAGAUGCACUGAACGCUCAUGAAUGCCAAAAUAUUAUAAUGGCUGUACAGUCAUCCAGAAGAAUUAAAGGCCAUUAUAUUUAUAUUUCCAGAGCAUACUUCACAAGAAAUGUAAGUAGGAGUCUUGAUGAAAAUGUUUUAAAAAUCAAUUUUUCUAAAGCUAAAAAUCAUGAAAGUGUUACCUUAUAUCUAUGCUGUUUGAAAGAGAUUUCUCCCUUUUUUUGAAAGAAAUAUUAGUGGAAAUCCUCCAGGAUCAAUUACCUAAGAUAUUUCUCAUCCUUGCUACCACAAUAGUCCUUCUGUUUUCAAUUUUAUGAUUAUACAGCAUUUUUAGUAGUUUUCUCAGUGCAUCAGAACUUAUGAAAAUA
rnacentral:lncRNA from 1 species